AUUGAACGCUAGCGGCAUGCCUUACACAUGCAAGUCGAACGGUAACAGGUCUUCGGAUGCUGACGAGUGGCGAACGGGUGAGUAAUGCAUCGGAACGUGCCCAGUAGUGGGGGAUAGCCCGGCGAAAGCCGGAUUAAUACCGCAUACGACCUGAGGGUGAAAGGGGGGGAUCGCAAGACCUCUCGUUAUUGGAGCGGCCGAUGUCAGAUUAGCUAGUUGGUGGGGUAAAGGCCUACCAAGGCAACGAUCUGUAGUUGGUCUGAGAGGACGACCAGCCACACUGGGACUGAGACACUGCCCAGACGCCUACGGGAGGCAGCAGUGGGGAAUUUUGGACAAUGGGCGCAAGCCUGAUCCAGCAAUGCCGCGUGCAGGAAGAAGGCCUUCGGGUUGUAAACUGCUUUUGUCAGGGAAGAAAUCUUCUGGGUUAAUACCUCGGGAGGAUGACGGUACCUGAAGAAUAAGCACCGGCUAACUACGUGCCAGCCGCCGCCGUAAGAC
rnacentral:rRNA from 1 species